rnacentral:rRNA from 1 species
UAGAGUUUGAUCAUGGCUCAGGAUGAACGCUAGCGGCAGGCCUAAUACAUGCAAGUCGAGGGGUAAGAGUCAGCUUGCUGACUACACGACCGGCGCACGGGUGCGUAACGCGUAUGCAACCUACCUUUAACAGAGGAAUAGCCCCGAGAAAUCGGGAUUAAUACCACAUAACAUUAUGAUAUGGCAUCAUAUUAUAAUUAAAACUCCGGUGGUUAAAGAUGGGCAUGCGUGACAUUAGCUAGUUGGUGAGGUAACUGCUCACCAAGGCUACGAUGUCUAGGGGUUCUGAGAGGAUGAUCCCCCACACUGGUACUGAGACACGGACCAGACUCCUACGGGAGGCAGCAGUAAGGAAUAUUGCGCAAUGGAGGCAACUCUGACGCAGCCAUGCCGCGUGCAGGAUUGAAGGCCU